UCAACUGGAUUUAGAAGACUCUCGACCUGGUCUCCAUCAUCCGUGGGUUGUCUUUCCAUCUCCCAGCCGCUCUUCCACCUGGAGGUGAAACCAGAGCUUCUGCCUGCAUGGAACAAGAGCAAGAGAAAGAUACUCACCGAAGUCUAC
rnacentral:lncRNA from 1 species